UACGGGGGGGGUAAGCGUUGUUCGGAAUUACUGGGCGUAAAGGGCUCGUAGGCGGCCAACUAAGUCAUACGUGAAAUCCCUCAGCUUAACUGGGGAACUGCGUGUGAUACUGGAUGGCUUGGAUUUGGGAGAGGGAUGCGGAAUUCCAGGUGUAGCGGCGAAAUGCGUAGAUAUCUGGAGGAACACCGGUGGCGAAGGCGGCAUCCUGGACCAAUAUUGACGCUGAGGAGCGAAAGCCAGGGGAGCAAACGGG
rnacentral:rRNA from 1 species